CAAUAAGCGGAGGAAAAGAAACCAACAGGGAUUGCCCCAGUAACGGCGAGUGAAGCGGCAACAGCUCAGAUUUGGAAUCUGGCCUUCGGGGGCCCGAGUUGUAAUCUGGAGAGGAUGCUUCUGGCGCGGUGCCUUCCGAGUUCCCUGGAACGGGACGCCGGAGAGGGUGAGAGCCCCGUACGGUUGGACACCUAGCCUCUGGUGAAGCUCCUUCGACGAGUCGAGUAGUUUGGGAAUGCUGCUCAAAAUGGGAGGUAAAUUUCUUCUAAAGCUAAAUAUUGGCCAGAGACCGAUAGCGCACAAGUAGAGUGAUCGAAAGAUGAAAAGCACUUUGAAAAGAGAGUUAAAAAGUACGUGAAAUUGUUGAAAGGGAAGCGCCUGUGGCCAGACUUGCGCCGCGCGGACCACCCAGCGUUUCGCUGGUGCACUCCGCGUGGCGCAGGCCAGCAUCGGUUUUCCUAGGGGGAUAAAGGUCGCGGGAACGUAGCUCCUCCGGGAGUGUUAUAGCCCGUGGCGUCAUGCCCCUGGGGGGACCGAGG
rnacentral:rRNA from 1 species